rnacentral:tRNA from 1 species
GGAUAGCUCAGUUGGUUAGAACAUGGUGCUGAGAACGCCAAGGUUGCAGGUUUGAUCCCCGUAUGGGACA